GACUUCAAUAUUGAGGCAUGAUUUGGAUCCAAAAGCUGGCCUACAUUGUCACUGAAUCUUUGCUUCAUUGCACCAUCAUCCAAAGAAUCCCUCUGAAUUGGUAGUUUUAAUCUUUCCUCAUACAUCUUCGUCGCCAAGGCAUUUGCAGUUCCAGGGUUUUGGCGCAAGAGUGGAUCAUUUCCCAUAAGCCCAUUUGUAGUACCAUUUAGAAGGUGGGCACCAUCCCUUCGCUGCUGCUGCUGUUGCUGGGGAGGCUGUUGCUGCUGCUGUUGUUGUUGCUGCUGCUGUUGCUGCUG
rnacentral:misc_RNA from 1 species